GAUGAACGCUGGCGGCGUGCUUAACACAUGCAAGUCGAACGGGAAACCUUUUAUUGAAGCUUCGGCAGAUUUAGCUGGUUUCUAGUGGCGGACGGGUGAGUAACGCGUGGGUAACCUGCCUUAUACAGGGGGAUAACAGUCAGAAAUGGCUGCUAAUACCGCAUAAGCGCACAGAGCUGCAUGGCUCAGUGUGAAAAACUCCGGUGGUAUAAGAUGGACCCGCGUUGGAUUAGCUGGUUGGUGGGGUAACGGCCCACCAAGGCGACGAUCCAUAGCCGGCCUGAGAGGGUGAACGGCCACAGUGGGACUGAGACACGGCCCAGACUCCUACGGGAGGCAGCAGUGGGGAAUAUUGCACAAUGGGGGAAACCCUGAUGCAGCGACGCCGCGUGAAGGAAGAAGUAUCUCGGUAUGUAAACUUCUAUCAGCAGGGAAGAUAAUGACGGUACCUGACUAAGAAGCCCCGGCUAACUACGUG
rnacentral:rRNA from 1 species